rnacentral:rRNA from 1 species
AGAGUUUGAUCCUGGCUCAGGAUGAACGCUGACAGAAUGCUUAACACAUGCAAGUCUUUGGCGAAGCUGUGCUUGCACAGCCUAGCCAAGGCGGACGGGUGAGUAACGCGUAAGGGACUUGCCCUGCAGUCAGGGAUAACAGACGGAAACGACUGAUAAAACCUGGUAAAGUCAGGCGGACUCAUGUCCAGCCUGAUGAAAAGGAAUGCUGCAGGAGAGCCUUGCGUCCUAUUAGCUUGUUGGUGGGGUAACGGCCCACCAAGGCGAUGAUAGGUAGCCGGCCUGAGAGGGUGGACGGCCACAAGGGGACUGAGAUACGGCCCUUACUCCUACGGGAGGCAGCAGUGGGGAAUAUUGGACAAUGGGGGCAACCCUGAUCCAGCAAUUCUGUGUGCACGAUGAAGGUCUUCGGAUUGUAAAGUGCUUUCAGCAGGGAAGAAAAAAAUGACGGUACCUGCAGAAGAAGCGACGGCUAAAUACGUGCCAGCAGCCGCGGUAAUACGUAUGUCGCGAGCGUUAUCCGGAAUUAUUGGGCAUAAAGGGCAUCUAGGCGGCCGGAUAAGUCUGGGGUGAAAACUUGCGGCUCAACCGCAAGCCUGCCCUGGAAACUAUGCGGCUAGAGUACUGGAGAGGUGGACGGAACUGCACGAGUAGAGGUGAAAUUCGUAGAUAUGUGCAGGAAUGCCGAUGAUGAAGAUAGUUCACUGGACGGUAACUGACGCUGAAGUGCGAAAGCUAGGGGAGCAAACAGGAUUAGAUACCCUGGUAGUCCUAGCUGUAAACGAUGAUUACUGGGUGUGGGCAUGAAGAGUGUCCGUGCCGAAGCUAAUGCGAUAAGUAAUCCGCCUGGGGAGUACGGCCGCAAGGCUGAAACUCAAAGGAAUUGACGGGGACCCGCACAAGCGGUGGAGCAUGU